rnacentral:lncRNA from 1 species
UCCUUCUCCUUCUCCUCCUUCUCCUUCUCCUCCUCCUCCUUCUCCUCCUCUUCCUUCUUUUUGAGACAGAUUCUCACAGACCCAGCUUGUCUUGAACUUGAACCAGGCUGGCCUUAAACUCACAGACAUCCACCUGCCUCUGCUUCCUGAGGGCUCAGAUUGAAGACAUGCAACACCAAGUGGGGCACCCUGGCUCUCUUUUUAUUUUCCAUUCUGAUACACCAUCUCACCGAAUUGCCCAGGCUGGCUCUGAACUCUGUAGCUCAGGAAGGUCUUAAACUUGCUAUCCUCUUGCCUCAGCCUACCAAGUAUGUAAGAUUACAGGCCUGCAUUGUCAAGCUUGUCUGUGAUUUUCUUAUUCUGACACUCAUUCUAUAGAGGUUAAUUAGUUUUUCUCUAUAAAAAAUUGGGGAGGAUUUUUCAGGACUUUCUUAAAAUGCUUGAAUAAAGGCUUUACUCUUUUCAAAAUUCCAAAAAAAUCUAAUUUUAUAAAUUUCUAGCUAUUGGAGUAAAUGAAAUAAUUAACAUUAGUAAAUUUCUUUUUUUUUUAAGAUUUUACUAUUUUGGACUAAGGGAUUUUUUUUGUUGAUUGAUUGUCUAAAGUAGUCACUUACUCUUUUUGAUAUCAGUUUGUCCCAAAAGUAUCUAGUGAACCCUCCUUGCAGUGUCUGUCCUCACUGGGCAACUCAGUGAGGUGGGAGAGGAAAAGACAAGAUGGCAAACUUAUCUUCCUCCUCUUCCCUACCCUGAUCUCAAGCCAACCUUUGCUUGAACAGGGCCCUGCUUCUUUUUAAUGGGUAGUAUGUCUCCUUCUUAGUGAGAUGUAAUUGUGAAUUUCUUUUAUGUGCCUGACAUUUGGGAUAACACUGCCUUAAAAGCCUCUUAUUGCUCUGUGCAGGUUGAUUUUUUUCUUUUGGUUUUUCGAGACAGGGUUUCUCUGUGUAGCCCUGGCUGUCUUGGAACUUCUCUGUAGACCAGGCUGGCCUGGAACUCACAGAGAUCUGUCUGCCUCUGCCUCCCGAAUGCUGGGAUUAAAGGGGUGCCCCAUCACCACCUAGCUUGGAUUUUUAAAUCUAUUAUCAUCAAGUGAUAUGUUCUUUGCUUUUACUUUUUCACUCUUACACAAAGAAUAUUAAUUUCUACCAAUAUUUAUGCCAUGUAUUAAAAUUUUCCCCUCAAAAGUCACAACACUGGGCCAGUACCUGAGCAUGAGUAUACACACACACAUACACACACACACACACACACUUGAAAUCAGAGAGAGUGACAUCUUAAUGGCGCUGACUCUGUUCUUCACAUGGGACCAUGACAUGAAAAGUCUCCUUAUUUGCUAGCCAGCUUCCACUUGGAAAUUUUUCUCUUUUUUGAAACCAUGUCUUUCUAUGCAACCCAGGAUAGCCCCAAAGUCAUGAUCCUCCUGCAUCCACCUCCCCUAUGCUGACCUUACAGACGCAUACAAGCACGCUUAGCUUUUUUGGAGGCCUUUUGAAUCCAGGUGAAUGGCUUGGGUAAGAAGGUUAGGGGACUAGUCAAGUCUCAUCAGAUAAAAAUAACAAUCCUAAUCGACAGCUGCAGCUGAUGCCCUCUCCUGGCAGACAGAGCCUCAGUUCUCAGAGGCCACUAGCCUUAUGUCAGCUCCCCACAGUUUUCACGUACCCAUCUCAUGCCCAGAGAACUCUGCCUACCCAUCACUGCCUGCUAUCUGGCCAACUCCUGGGAACCGCCAGACUUGCCUGGGACUCCAAAGUAUCUGAAUCCCACUCUGUUUCUAGUUUGUUAGUUUGGGGUAGUGGCUGGACCACACGACUGAUGAGGGCCAAGGGAUGUGGUAUUUAAUGAACAUUUUGAUCAUAGAGAUGGUCACUUGCUGUCCAGUAGUGAGACACAACAUGACUCAUCAAGAGAGUAUCACAGAGGGGUGAAAGGCAUAUGCCCUUGGUUCUAGAAGAACAGAAACACCUGCCUGUGAAGGCCUAAAGAAGGGUCUGCUGCUGGAAGCCAAUGUGUGAUGGUAAAGGUAGCUACAGGAAGCAGCAAGCUGUUGGUCUAUAAUCCCGGGAAUGCUGAGGCUGGAGGGAAAGCAGGUCAAGGCAGAACUAUGUCACUGGAGACUCUUGACAGAGCGACUGAGUGCUGAAAGCAAAGGAGGAGAUAAAGGUGACACGGAGCCUAAAAGUUCUCUGGCCCCAUGCCAGGUUACUAGAAUGUUCUUUCCAACAUGAUCUUGGGCUGAUACAGUGAAUAAAGGCUAUUUGCCUCUGGAUCUUUCUCUGAAGUAAUUAGACGCUACACUCUAGGUUGGUUUGAAAGACAGCGUGUUGAGUUUUCUGACCGAUUGACUGCAGAAAGUGAAGCUUGAACUUCAAGGGACUUUAGUCUUCUGCUCAAGCCCACACAUUGUUCCCCUUCUCCCUCCUUUCCUUCCCCACCACAACAGAAGUGGGCAGGCCACCAGCUGUCAGCAGCUGCCACCCUUCCUCUUCUGUCUUUGCCCUCCCUGGCCUUUUCCACUGUUUGCUUCCACUGUGUCACCCAGGCCCCUUAGCUGCCUCUCUCACCUUCCUCAGCUAUUAUGCCCUUGGCUGGGAUGCUGAGAAGGCCAGGCAUGGCUGACCAGGGGCAAGUUCUUGCCACAGAAACCUGUGUGUGUGUGUGUCAGAAGGCAGGCAGGGCUGCUGUUGCUGCAGGCUAAACCUCCCAUUCCUGCCCCAAACAAGGACUGACAGUGAAAGGAAAGUGAGUGAAUGGUUUGGAUCAGGAGAGAUGCAGUAGCCUUCAGUGGUAAUUCUCCCCUUCCUGAGGAACAGAUCUCACAAAACAAAAGAGGAAGGACAAUGUCCUUAAUAGGGUCACUGUUUUGCCUAGACUCAGACUGCACAGUACCAACAACACACAUGGCGUGUUUGUCUGAAUUGGCCCCAGCACGGAAGUAGUCUAGGACAAAUGCCCUAGCAGAUUGAUUGAACUGCAGCUUUCAUGCCAGGCCCCCUGAUGACUUGGGCUCCCUCUGUAGCUCCCACCUAGCUUCUCUUCAAGAAGGUGUCUGAAAAAAAAAAAAAAGAUAAGCAGAGAACUCCUUCCUGGAAACUACAGUGGUGUCCCACAGGUGUGAACUAGUUUUUAGAUGCCUCACCAAUGUUCAGAUGUUGCCACAGAAAUCUGGGCUCUCCUUGGACCCCUUCUCCUGUCCUCUAAGAGCAGAUGAAGUCAGGGAGACUAAGUGAUACUCUCAAGUCCCUGGUUAACUGAUGCUAGGACAGAGCCUUCUAUCUGCACCACCGGUCUAACUCAGAAGGAAAAGCCCCUUUGAUGGGCAGUUUAGACUGUAAACAGGCUUGGACUGAGUCCCAGCUCCUCUAUGGACAAAGGACAUCACUUUGAACUUGCUAUUUAGCCUAAAAAUCAACGUCUUCAUAUGAAAAAAAAAAUGAAUGGGACUGUAGCACAGGAAACACAGAGAGUGCUCAAUAGACACAUUGUUGUAGUGUUAUGAGAGGCAAGAAAAAGCAUCCAAGACUGACCGGAGUGGUCUGGGUCUCACUCCCAAGCUCCCAUGCAGUCUGUCUUCUGAUGCUCGAACCUUGGUCUCUCACAGAGCUGAUUUGGGAUUAGGCAUGCUGGCUUGUCUUUCCUCAAUAAUUUCAAAUCUGUAUUAUUUCCGUUAAAUAUUUAAUACCCACGAGUGAGAUUCAAAUAAUAACAAUAAAACAGAUACGAAUAUUCAUCCCUCUACUUAAGAGAUAGGACAUCGGGACUGAGAUUAAAGUUCAGUUGGUAAAAUGGUUGCUGUGGAGGCAUGAGGGCCUGAGUUCUGGUGGCACACACUUGCUAUCCUAGCUCUGGGGAAAUAGGCAGGCAGAAUGAGUCUGGGACUUGGUGGUCAAUCAGCCAAGCCUAAUUGAUGAGCUCCAUGUCUUAGUGAAGGAACUUGUCUCAGAAAACAAGGAUGACAGAGCCUGAGGGUCAACACCCAAUGUUCCCUUGGUCUCCACAUGCUCGCUCACCCUACCGCCACGUGGGUGCUUUCCACCAGCCACCCGAAUCUGCCCGACGAGUUAGGGUCCCAAAUAAUACACAGACACUUAUAUUAGGUACAAAUAUGCUUGGCCAAAGACUAGGAUUUCUCAUCUGUUAGCUCAGUCUUAAUUAUCACAAAUCUAUAUAUUUUAUAAGACUUAUCUUAUAGAGGAUGCCUUUCACUGGCGCCCUCUCUUGCUGGUGGAUCACAUGGUGACUCCAGAGCAAAGACCAGGAAGAAGAGAGAGGGGUGGCCCACUUCCUUCUUGCCCUUGUUCACAUAUGAGUCUCCCUGCUAUGUCACUUCCUGCCUGGAUCACCACUUCUUUACUACAUUUCCCAGAA